rnacentral:rRNA from 1 species
CCUACGGGUGGCUGCAGUGGGGAAUAUUGCGCAAUGGGCGAAAGCCUGACGCAGCCACGCCGCGUGAGCGAUGAAGGCCUUCGGGUCGUAAAGCUCUGUGGGGAGAGACGAAGAAAGCCCGUGAAGAGCGGGCCUUGACGGUAUCUCCUUAGCAAGCACCGGCUAACUCCGUGCCAGCAGCCGCGGUAAUACGGAGGGUGCGAACGUUGCUCGGAAUCAUUGGGCGUAAAGCGCACGUAGGCUGCGAAGAAAGUUGGGUGUGAAAGCCCUGGGCU